UGGGGAAUUUUGGACAAUGGGGGAAACCCUGAUCCAGCCAUCCCGCGUGUGCGAUGAAGGCCUUCGGGUUGUAAAGCACUUUUGGCAGGAAAGAAACGUCCCGGGAUAAUACCCCGGGAAACUGACGGUACCUGCAGAAUAAGCACCGGCUAACUACGUGCCAGCAGCCGCGGUAAUACGUAGGGUGCAAGCGUUAAUCGGAAUUACUGGGCGUAAAGCGUGCGCAGGCGGUUCGGAAAGAAAGAUGUGAAAUCCCAGAGCUUAACUUUGGAACUGCAUUUUUAACUACCGAGCUAGAGUGUGUCAGAGGGAGGUGGAAUUCCGCGUGUAGCAGUGAAAUGCGUAGAUAUGCGGAGGAACACCGAUGGCGAAGGCAGCCUCCUGGGAUAACACUGACGCUCAUGCACGAAAGCGUGGGGAGCAAACA
rnacentral:rRNA from 1 species